GACGAACGCUGGCGGCGUGCCUAAUACAUGCAAGUCGAACGCAGUGGGGACGGGUGAGUAACACGUGGGUAACCUCCCAUCAGAGGGGAUAACACUUGGAAACAGGUGCUAAACCGAUACUGAUGGAUGGACCCGCGGUGCAUUAGCUAGUUGGUGAGGUAACGGCUCACCAAGGCCACGAUGCAUAGCCGACCUAGGAGGGUGAGCGGACACACUGGGACUGAGACACGGCCCAGACUCCGACGGGAGGCAGCAGUGGGGAAUAUUGCACAAUGGGCGCAAGCCGGAUGCAGCCAUGCCGCGUGUAUGAAGAAGGCCUUCGGGUUGUAAAGGACUUUCAGCGGGGAGGCGUUACCCGCAGAAGAAGCACCGGCUAACUCCGUGCCAGCCGCCGCGGUAAUAC
rnacentral:rRNA from 1 species